ensembl:lncRNA novel transcript
GGGACCGUCUGUAGUGAGAAAGGAAGUAGAGGCUUCAACUGCAAGGCAGCAGAAUGCCAAAAGCCUGCACAGAAGCAUCUUGCCAAGGAGAUGGAAAGCGGCCUCUCACAGGGGACCUUUAGUAUCCCUGAAGGACCAAAAUGCACUCCUAAGUCCUGGGAGUCUCAAUGAUAACGAGCAAAUGAUGGGUGAAGCUCCACAACCAUCUCUCUCAGCCUUUGGAUGAGGGAGAUCUAAUAAGCACUGUUCUGGCAUCCUGACCUAGAGGAAUUUUAAAGCUUUGCAAAGGCUUGUUAAGAGACUACAACCUAUUUUGAGUGACUAAAAUCCUGCCGAUUUCAAUGUUACAGGCUUCUGGGAAACAGCUCAGGUAGCAAAAAUGCCGGCACAUGAUCCCUGGUUUCGCAGCUGGCAUUCUGACUAACCAGGGAUUGUUCAGACAAACAGCUGCAUCUCUCUGAGCCUCAGUUUUCUCACCUAUGUAUACCCAUUAUGGACACACUUUCUUUAGGGUUUCGGUAGUUCUACAACGAAAUAUGUAUAAAGUGUGGUGGAGAGCAGGUGUUUGAAAAAUGCUCAUUCCCUUCCCUGUCCUGCUGUAUAUCAUUCAUACACAGAUUAGUGUCUGAUUCUGAGCUGGUUGUACCAGGAUGAGACAAUUGAGAAGUAAAUCUGAAGAUAAAAGCAAAGCGAAGAGCUCAAGUGAGAGAUUUAUUAUUUCAUCUUUUUGGAUGGAUUAUUUGGAUAUUUCAGGACAAGAGAAAAUCCCCACUUUAUGUUUCCUAUCAAUGAGAUGCUUCUUGAGCUAUAGGCUUUCUUCCUGGUUCAUAAACCUUUUGUAUGACAGUCAAUAAGGAUUUGUGGACCACACUGGAGCAAGGAGAGCAGCUGAAUUACCUGGAGGAACAUUUUGGGUUUGAACAGCAGUUCAUAUUUUGUCUAUGCAGAAAGCGCUAUUGGAAAAUUUUAAAUUGAGUGGCAUUAUACAAAAGAUCUCCUUCAGUUUUGAAGUCUCCAUUUGAGUUCCCAAGUCUGCCUUUUUGGGUGCCAGGUCCUUCAGAAGUCAUAUGGAUUCAAGCAGGAAACAGACUCUCAGGAGCAAAACUGCGAAUGCCACCCAGUCUGCAGAUCCCCACAAAGGAAGGAAACAUCAUGAGCAUACAAUUUCUUCCUCUCCCUGUCCCAUGACUUCACCCUGUCCUCUUCGGCCAGCCAACAAUCUCCACACUUCAGCCCACUCCAAAAUCCUUAACAACCCUAGUGCCAAACUCCUCAGGCAGACGGACUUGAAGUUUUCUCCAACUCCUCAUUCAGUGACCCUAUAAUUAAACUUCUUUUUCUGCAGCAACCCCAUGACUUGGUAUAUUGAUUUGCCACGUGCAUCGGGCAAUGGGCCUGUUAUGGUUGUAAUUUUGAGAGUAGAAUACAUGAAGAUAAAACAUGUUCCAAUUGAUGGCAAUAUGUGCUCCAGAAAGCACUGAGCCUAUGUGAAGCCUUCAGCAAGGGGUCCUUGAAAAGGAGUGACACCAAGCCAUUUAUUAAAAGUAAGGAAUGGUUACAUAGAGAGUAAGGGAUGGUUACACAGAUUCAGGAAUGGGCUUAAACUGAAAACUAUAAAAAUUACAGGAAAGUCUGUGUCUGACAAUGAAGAGUUGAUUAAGAAGAAAGACUAGCAUCCAAAGCAAGGCUUCAACUGGCUCUUCUGGAAGAAAACGCCUAAGAGGACCUACAACAGAGACACUGGGGCAUAAAACAUGGCAGGACAGAUCAAUUCUGCUGCUGUGUAGCAAUGAUGCAGGGCAUAUAACAAAGCCAAGCAUAGUGUACAGAACAAGAAACCCUUGUGUUCUCAAAAAACAAAAAUUAUGUCUCUGUGUUCUGGCAACAUAAUCAGAAAGUGUGGGUGACAGCCAUCUUGUUUAUGGAAUGGUUCCACCAAUGCUUCAUCCCAGAAAUGACAAAAUACUUGGAAGAGGAAGGGUUGAAAUUUAAGUCCUAUUAAUAAUAGACAACGCACUUGGCCAUCCUGAAUCUGUUUGCUGUGAAAAUGAAAAGUCAAGGUCAUAUUUUUACCUCCAAAUACAAUCUUAUUGCUUCAGCUCAUUUACCUGGGCAUCAUUUGAUUUGUCAAGUCAAUAUACAACUGCCUGAUAUUUGAUCACACAUGAUCAGCAAUUAAUGCAAACACCAAUCUGAACAUAAUGCAGUGCUGAUGCAACAGCAUUUAUCAAAGCUGCAAUGAAUGGAUUACAACCAGAAGCUGUAAAUGGCUACUGGACAGACUUAUGGAGUGCUGACCUGAAUAAUUUAAAAGGCUUUCUGGGGAGCAUCAGAGAAAUUAGGAAGACCAUUCGUGAAGCAAGACAAGUUGGUGAAGAAAGAUUUGCCAACAUGCUUGGAAGCAUGAAAGAACAUAUUGAAGGCCACUGAGAAGCAUUAACAAAUGAAGAAUUGGAAGAACUUGUUGAGUCCUCUGCAGAGGAAAAGGAAGAUAAAGAAGAACUGAAGCUGAACCAGCAAUAUGAAAAUUACCAAAAUUUGCCAAAGUGUUUUGAGUUGCACAGACUCUAAAGGACAAAAUUGUGGAAUAUGAUUCUUAAAUGGAACACAGCAUUAAAGUCACCCAUAUGAUCAAUGAAGGAUUAAAACCUCUGCAGAAACACUUUGAUGAGUUAAAAAGAGACAACACCUUCUGAUUACAGUGUUCUUCCAGAAAGUUUCAACCAAAAAACCUUCUACUAUUGAGGAUUCCCCACCAUCAACAUCGCCUGAUCCUGACAUUCAUCCAUUGACGUUGUCAAGGCUCGAGGAACCAGAAUCACUCAAAGCAGAAGGUCAACAGUAGCCUAACACUGCAUCACAAUGCCUAUAACGCUCACCUCACUUCAUCUCAUCAGGUCACAGCUUGCCAGCUAUUAUCACCUUCUGGAACCAUCCCUGGUAAAAGCGUUCAAAACCUUGGUGACCCAAUGAGAAUUCUCCAGGUCUUCUCGGGCCCUGUUCUUGCCCAUUAUGCCAUCUGAUUAGCAGGGCACACGCUGGGCUCUCAGAAAAAUAGGUCUUUACAGUGUGGUAUAAUUAAGAGAGAACAAAAUCUGGAUUCAGAAAGCCUACGUUUGAAUCCUGUCUCUGUGACUUACCAGUUAUGUGACCUAAUAAAAUCACAGUCCCACUGGGCGUCAUCUUCCUCACCUGAAAACUAGAUAUUAAUGGCAUCCAGCUCAGUGGGGGCUUUGAAGGCUAAAUGAGAGAAUACAAAGCUAUUGUAUGAAAAAGCUUUGUGCACCUAUAUCACAUUGUGUAUGUCAUUGUACUAGGCAGCUCCUAAUUCAAGAGGGCUCCAUCAUCCCAAAUUGCUGCUCUUUAUUCCUAGCUUGAGAAGUGGAAGGAGGGAAAUAAUAAUAAUAUCUUUGAUAAUAAUGGUGGCUACUGUUUAUUAAGAGCUUACCUGUCACCAGGUGCUAUGCUAUAUGCUUUACAAAUAAUAUUUCAACCAGAUCUGACAACUCAAUGAGAUAGAAACUGAGGCUCAGAAAAAUCAGUCACAAAAUUGCUAAAUUGUCAAGCUGGGGUUUUGUAACGUAGUGCCCCCAUUGUUCUAGAGGUGGCUUUUUUUUUUUCCUCUCCCUCUUCUUUUCGUAUUCCUGGGCUCCCUGUUUCCUACUUAGCCCUUCAGAAAUGCAAGUAUAGCCUUUUACCUGCCCCGUCACAGACAUUCCAUACAGGUCAAGUUCUGUGUGCUCCAAGACAGAUCUCUUCUUGGACUAAAGCACAGCCGCCAUGGAACUCUCACCUCCAUGGGGUUGCCUCGGAACUUUCAUCCAUCAGGAGGGCUCAUGGAAAGCAUGCCCGUGUGAACACUUUUACAGCUUCCUUCUGCCCAGGAAGGCACCACCUCAACUGCCCAGUAGAUAAGACACCAAGCUAGCAGGUGUACCCCUGUCCUUACUCAUUUUCUUCGCAACCUUAUAUAAGUGCCUGCUUUCUGCUCCAGAGGUGGAGUGGCACAUUUAAAGGCGGAACAUUUUGUGCCCCUUCCCCAAGCUAACUUCAGAAUGAAUUCACUUAUUUUGUAUCAGACCUGGCUCUUGUUAAUUGGACUCUCAUGUGGAAAGCAACUAACCUGUUUCUUCGUUACAAUUUGAAUGUGUGUCCUUUCUGAUACCAAAGCCUGUGCUCUGAUAACUAUACAUGUUUCCCAGCAGCCAUUGUAUCGCCUUUGGCACACCUCAGCGGUCUACUUCCUGGCCCUUGGCAGGAAAGCUGCCCCGUACUCCUGCAGAGAAUAAAGUGGGAGCUUGUAUAAGGGACAAGAGUAAAGAACACUUGAGGUGCUGAAGAAGGCGAUGCCCCUCAGAUGGUGGGUUGGUCACUAGCAGCAGUGUAGCAUGCCUACUGGGGUCAUGUGUCUCAUCUUUAGGCCAACCCUGCUAAAAAAGCCAAAGCUAAGUGUGCCGAACACGCCAGUUACUGUUUUGGGUCUGCCUAGCACAUUUUCACCUAUCUUUUCUUCUGCUUUCGGCACUCCCUUUUGUUUGCAGAACUCCUUACCCAUUCCUUGAGGUUCUGAUGGAAAUACCAGCGAUGGUGCCCCACUUGCAACCUCUAUCUGAAGGGUGGGCAUGUGACCCAGGCUGCAUGUGUAACAGUCACCCAUGCCUUUGGCAGCACAUGUUAAUCUACUGGGGAUCUGACUCAAGAAGGCCAUUCAGAGCCCAUUCCCUGGACUGCUAUUUGUAGAAAGGAAAGAGAGAGUCUCUUCCUACCAGUGAUACCAAGUUGGCAUGUAAAUCUGAGGUUCCACCUUGCCCUUCAUCCUGCUAAAAUAGAGUAAGCACAUCUUCACGAAGAGGUAAUCAGGCCAACAUGCAGAAGAAAUUAUGAAAAAAAGAAAUUAUAAUUGAGAGAGAGAAACUGUCCACAUUGUUUCAGUUUGUAGAUCCAGCCUUGCUUGAGCCACAGUCUACCUCUGGCUUUCCCAUAGGCCCAAACCAACAAAUUUCCUUUUUUUUGAGUUGAGCUAAUAUGAACUUAUUAUAAGUUAGAGUAAGUUCUUAGAAUCAAAAGAAUCUUCAUUCAAUUGAUUUAAUAUAGUGAUGAAAGAUAGAAAUCCCAGAGGUAGAAAGUGAAAGUAUAUCAAUAGAUGAAGACUAUAUAAAUUAUAAGAUGGCUUCACUCCAAGACAAAAACGCAAAUAUGUAUUGCAAAGAAGGAACUGUGAACUGUGUUUUCUCCCUGGAUAUUUCUAUAAUUUCUACUUUAAAAAAGCAAACAUCCACAAGCUGUAGGGGAAAAAUACUCAAGUGACAAAAUAUUUUAAUAUGCUGCACAUUCAGACAUAGAUAAAGAUUCUCUGUUUUUCUUCUUACCGCUAGCUUGAGGUUUGUACAGAAAUACUGCCUGAGAAGUAUUUAUUAUCUUCCUCAUACCCUAUACCAAAAGCCAUAACAUAAACCAUUCAGAUCAUUUUAGAAAGUUAUUUAGUGGUGGGGGUUUUGAGGAUAAGCCUGAAAUCCUGAAGGUGAGUUUUGAUCUCAUUUAAAGUGCAGUCCAAACAGCAGCUUAGUGAAUCACAUCAAAUUAGCAACAUGAGGCAAUGCAGGACCAAUUUCUACAUUUUAAUUUUUCCUGCUUCUCCUACUGUGAAAUGCUAUUAAAGAAUGUGAGUAAAGCCCAACAAUGUAGAUCUUGGUGCUCUGGCCAGGUAAGACAACCAGUCUUUUUUUUUUUUUUUUGAGACAGAGUUUUGCUCUUGUCACCCAGUGUGGAGUGCAAUGGCGCAAUCUCGGCUCACUGCAACCUCUGCCUCCUUGGUUUAAGUAAUUCUCCUGCCUCAGCCUCCCGCGUA